rnacentral:rRNA from 1 species
UAAAUUGAGAGUUUGAUCCUGGCUCAGGAUGAACGCUGGCGGCGUGCUUAACACAUGCAAGUCGAGCGAUGAAGUUUCCUUCGGGAAACGGAUUAGCGGCGGACGGGUGAGUAACACGUGGGUAACCUGCCUCAUAGAGUGGAAUAGCCUUCCGAAAGGAAGAUUAAUACCG